rnacentral:rRNA from 1 species
UACGUAGGUGGCAGGCGUUGUCCGGAAUUACUGGGUGUAAAGCGCGUGUAGGCGGCAGACCAAGUCGGCGGUGAAAGCGCCCGGCUCAACUGGGCGAGGUCCGUGGAAACUGGUCAGCUGGAGGACGGUAGAGGCGAGUGGAAUUCCCGGUGUAGUGGUGAAAUGCGUAGAGAUCGGGAGGAACACCUGUGGCGAAGGCGGCUCGCUGGGCCGGUCCUGACGCUGAGACGCGAAGGCGUGGGGAGCAAACAGG